rnacentral:rRNA from 1 species
CCUACGGGAGGCAGCAGUGAGGAAUAUUGGUCAAUGGGCGAGAGCCUGAACCAGCCAAGUCGCGUGAGGGAGUACUGCCCUAUGGGUUGUAAACCUCUUUUGUCGGGGAGCAAAAGCCGGACGUGUCCGGCUGUGAGAGUACCCGAAGAAAAAGCAUCGGCUAACUCCGUGCCAGCAGCCGCGGUAAUACGGAGGAUGCGAGCGUUACCCGGAUUUAUUGGGUUUAAAGGGUGCGCAGGCGGAUUUUUAAGUCAGCGGUAAAAUCGUGGGGCUCAACCCCAUCCAGCCGUUGAAACUGGGGAUCUAGAGUGUGUGAGAGGUAUGCGGAAUGCGUGGUGUAGCGGUGAAAUGCAUAGAUAUCACGCAGAACCCCGAUUGCGAAGGCAGCAUACCGGUGCACAACUGACGCUCAGGCACGAAAGCGUGGGUAUCGAACAGGAUUAGAUACCCUAGUAGUC